rnacentral:rRNA from 1 species
GACGAACGCUGGCGGCGUGCCUAACACAUGCAAGUCGAGCGCCGACGGAUGGUGCUCGUACCCACUGGAUGAGCAGCGAACGGGUGAGUAACGCGUGGGGAAUCUGCUUCUUAGUGGGGGACAACACCGGGAAACGAAUGCUAAUACUGCAUCAUACCUUUAAACACAAGAUUCAAGUUUGAUGGAUGCAUUUGCCUCACUCAAAGAUGAUCCCGCGUUGUAUUAGUUAGUUGGGGAGGUAAAGGCCCACCCAGGCGAAGAUACAUAGUCGACCUGAGAGGGUGAUCGGCCACAAUGGGACUGGGACACCGCCCAAGACCCUACGGGAAGCAGCAGUAGGGAAUCAUCGGCAAAGGGGGAAAGUCUGACCGAACAACGACGCGGGAGUGGAGGAGGGUUUCGGAUCGUAAAACUCUGUUGGUAGAGAAGAACGUUGGUGAGGGUAGAAAGCUCAUGAAGUGACGGUAACUACACAGAAAGGAACGGCUAACUACGUG